UGAACAUUGUGCCUGGGAUCUUUGCUCGCAAGCUGUGUCCAGGUCGGACGUCAAUGAGGGUCUCACCUGUGGAUCGAGGACGAAGAAGAAUGUGGAAAUUUCCAAACCUUGGCGGACAGACACCCGACUGAAAAGAGCUAGGCCACCCGCAGCGGCGGGGUUACCCGAAGUGUCUAAGGCUCUGCUGUAAUUGCCAACGUAUCCCGGAGAAAAGGGGCAGCCGCUGUGGAAGGCCUCUGUGACGCCCCGGGCUCCUCAGAAGCUGAAGUGGGGCACAAGGCCAAGCAGAAUGGUUCUCAUCUCUAAAGCGCCGUUUUACCUUCGCUAGCACCCCCUUCAGCUGGACCAAAGGUUUUGGGUCCGCAACUGUGAGUCCAAUCCCAGUCCGCGGAGCCACUAGCUUCCUCAACACCCUUUUCGAAGGCACCGCCCCAGCUCUUGAAACCUGUAUAUAGUACAACUUUUGUUAAAACACUCUGAUGGCAUUCAUCUCCCAACGCUGUUUUGCGUGAGUCCCUCUGACCUCCACUAAGAAAGGGGUUUCAGGGCCACUUGUCUCUAUGAAUUUUCAAUAAUAAUAAUAAUAAUAAUAAUAAUAAUAAUAAUAAUAAUAAUAGUAAUAUAUUUUGUCCUAAUGAUUCGUGUGGACCAAGAAUGUGGUGGUUAUUGGUUGGUAUUGGUAUAAUCAAAUCUUUUCAAAGACUCUGGCUCAAC
rnacentral:lncRNA from 1 species